rnacentral:rRNA from 1 species
AUUGAACGCUGGCGGCAGGCCUAACACAUGCAAGUCGAGCGAGCGGCGGACGGGUGAGUAAUGUAUGGGGAUCUGCCCGAUAGAGGGGGAUAACUACUGGAAACGGUAGCUAAUACCGCAUACCAUCAGAUGAACCCAUAUGGGAUUAGCUUGUAGGUGGGGUAACGGCUCACCUAGGCGACGAUCUCUAGCUGGUCUGAGAGGAUGAUCAGCCACACUGGGACUGAGACACGGCCCAGACUCCUACGGUAGGCAGCAGUGGGGAAUAUUGCACAAUGGGCGCAAGCCUGAUGCAGCCAUGCCGCGUGUAUGAAGAAGGCCUUCGGGUUGUAAAGUACUUUCAGCCGGGAGGCGUUACCGGCAGAAGAAGCACCGGCUAACUCCGUGCCAGCAGCCGCGGUAAUAC